GAUGAAGAACGCAGCGAAAUGCGAUAAGUAGUGUGAAUUGCAGACUUUAGUGAAUCAUCGAAUCUUUGAACGCACAUUGCGCCCGCCAGUAUUCUGGCGGGCAUGCCUGUUCGAGCGUCAUUUCAACCCUCAAGACCCCUUCGGGGGACUUGGUGUUGGGGACCGGCACAGGGGCCUGCCUGCUUGUCUUGCAGCGCCCUCGCCGCCCCCGAAAUGAAUUGGCGGCCUCGUCGCGGCCUCCCCUGCGUAGUAGCACAACCUCGCAACGGGAACGUGACGGCGGCCACUGCCGUAAAACAACCCCAAUUUUAUUAGAGUUGACCUCGAAUCAGGUAGGAAUACCCGCUGAACUUAAGCAUAUCAAUAAGCGGAGGA
rnacentral:misc_RNA from 1 species